rnacentral:lncRNA from 1 species
ACACUAUUUUGAAGAAUGUGUUUUAAUACAUAGAGAAAAGAACACCUAUUCACUGAAUCUGUUUUCAUUUUUUGGUGGAAAUAACCAUUGCAAAGUGCAGAAGCUAUGGGCAGCUGAGAGACCCUAGCACCCAGAAUAAGGCAUGUGAAUGAGCCAUUUUAGAAGCUGACUCUCUAACCAUGUUCAAGCUUUCAAAUGACUGCAACCACUGCUGACAUGCAAAAUGCAACCACAUGAGAAACCCUGAGGCAGAAAAACCCAGGCUAGAGUACAAAUGUGAAGAACAUCACAUGCCAAUCAUUCAGGAGUUAUUCAAUAUGCACUGAUGACCCCAAGAGCAGUGAAAAUAACCGUGACAGAAGCUUCCUGAUGACUGGGUACAAGGACAAUUUUUGUCUUAGUAUCCAGACUCAAGUCCUCAAGUCUGCAAAACCAUGAGAACAAUAACACUUUACCAUCAGAACAAUAACACUUUACCAUCAGAGACAUUCUCCAUUGUACACAGAGUACAGAUCAAUUCCAGUAUUCUUAAAUGGGUGAAAUCGGAUUAAAAUGGCCAGCAUGAGGAGGCAUCAGAAUGGGGAAGAUGCAGUCUUGCUCUGUCACCCAGGCUGGAGUGCAGCGGCGCAAUCUCCGGUCACCGCAACUUCCGCCUCCGGGGUUCAAGCGAUUCUCCUGCCUCAGCCUCCUGAAUAGUUGGGAUUACAGGUGCCUGUGACCACACCCAGCUAAUUUUGUAUUUUGAGUAGAGACGGGAUUUCACCAUGUUGGUCAAGCUGGUCUCAAUCUCCUGACCGCAUGAUCCACCCCCCUCGGCCUCCCAAAGUGCUGGGAUUAUAGGCAUGAGCCACCACACCAGUAGCUCUUUCUUAUGAAAGAAGUUUCUCAACAGAGUACUUUCUUCUGAAAGCAGUAUCAUUUUUCUAUAUUUAAUCUCCACAAGAACCACUUUCAAAAAAUAACAGUAUCCUGGCACUUUAAAGAACUAAAAAUAAAAAGAGUAAACAAACAAGAUUUAUUACUUUAGAAAAUCUAGCUAGUUCUUAUGUGA